GUGGAUCUGAGGUUCGAAGUGGGCUUUUGAUCCGCGGGUUCUGGGUUCGAUUCCCAGUGGGCCCA
rnacentral:tRNA from 1 species